ACAAGUACCGUGAGGGAAAGCUGAAAAGAACUUUGAAGAGAGAGUUCAAAAGGGCGUGAAACCGCUUAGAAGAAAACGGACGGAACCGUCUGACGCCCUCGGGAAUCAGUCGAACGACGCGCGAACGCGUCUCGAUCGUCGGAGCGUAAAAGUCCGGCUCGAGGCGUCUAGUAGUCGCGUUCGUAAGGCGCAUUUCUCGAGGGUUAGCGCCGCGACCGAUGCGAACGGCCGACGACGCCGUCGAGUUGAGGUCGAACGCCCUUCGCGGGUAUUCGUAACCAGCUCGUUCGGUUCGAUCGUUGGAUCUAUCUAUGAUAGCAUCGAGCGAAUACUUAAUAAAUACGUCGGCGUAAAACGCUCGACGAGCGGCGGAGACUCGGCCAGUCGUUCGAUACCUGCUCGCAGGUGCUCGUUCGGCGCGAGGUCGUUUCCCGAUGUCGCCGUCGACCCUACCGACGUUUAGGCGUCCGCGGCGUCCGAGUCGGCCACCCGUCCGACCCGUCUUGAAACACGGACCAAGGAGUCUAACGUACGCGCGAGUUAAUGGGCGGAAAACCCAUAAGCGCAAUAAAAGUAAAAGUCGUCCCAAGACGGCCGAGGUACGAUCCUAGACUACGCGUCUAGGCGCAGUACCGUCCCGUCCCGACCGCACGUCGGUAGGGCGGAGAUUGAGCGCAUACGUUGGGACCCGAAAGAUGGUGAACUAUGCCUGAGCAGAGCGAAGCCAGAGGAAACUCUGGUGGAGGUUCGUAGCGGUUCUGACGUGCAAAUCGAUCGUCAGACUUGGGUAUAGGGGCGAAAGACUAAUCGAACCAUCUAGUAGCUGGUUCCUUCCGAA
rnacentral:rRNA from 1 species